rnacentral:rRNA from 1 species
UGCCAGCAGCCGCGGUAAUACGAAGGGUGCUAGCGUUGUUCGGAAUUACUGGGCGUAAAGCGCACGUAGGCGGACUAUUAAGUCAGGGGUGAAAUCCCGGGGCUCAACCCCGGAACUGCCUCUGAUACUGGUAGUCUUGAGUUCGAGAGAGGUGAGUGGAAUUCCGAGUGUAGAGGUGAAAUUCGUAGAUAUUCGGAGGAACACCAGUGGCGAAGGCGGCUCACUGGCUCGAUACUGACGCUGAGGUGCGAAAGCAUGGGGAGCAAACAGGAUUAGAUA